rnacentral:rRNA from 1 species
AAGCUCAAGAGAACGGCAACGCCGAUGGCGCCCAGAUAUAUGUCGAGGACGCCAUCCGCAAGUGCACCGAGCACAUGAACUACCUCCGCCUCGCCUUAUACGCCCAUGAGUGAUAUAUACUACUUGCCUGCUGUUGUAUCAUAUUGCUUACUUUUUUACAUCAGAUCAACUAUGAAGAGAAUUGGUGGUGGUUAGGGUGUUCUGGUGCUUAUGUAAUCUUCUUUCAGGCCUUUCGAGAUAGAGUUCUUUAGCUGACAAGUUUAGCAAAUGCUGUAGUGCUUAUGGUUUAGUUUUACACUUGCGUAAAAAUGAAUGGCUGCUACUGUUUCUAGUUUUAGGUUGGGAUGACAUGCAUGUUUGCAUGCUUGUGCUUCUGUCACUACAAUCUAUACUACUGCUAUUGUCAUAUCCUGGUUGUUUUGUUGCUAUCAAUAUCUGUCCCAUGUUUUGUUUCCUUGCAUGCUUACUACUACAAUCUAUACUACUAUUGUGCCAGAUGUUCACAUGUUAAUUUUUGUUGACUAAAAUCUCUUAUGCCGUUGACUUAGCUUGACCCAGAACAGCAGCAUCCUUGAUGCGACUAACCUUCACCUCGUUCUUUCCCUCGCAGACUCGAAGGAGGCCGUAUGCAAGGCACCAAGGUGCAUGGUGCUCGCAAGCGACGAACGGAGGCUGUUCGACAUCGGCUACACAAACCACCAUUGUGAGCUCCUACCUUUGCUAUGCUACAACCAUGCUCUGUUUCAUGGGUUAGUUAGGAUUUUGAUGCUUUUUGUGCCGUG